rnacentral:sRNA from 1 species
GCCUCUUAUGCCGAAACGGACGACAUCCGGGUGACCGGAAGAAGGAGUGAGUGAGAAGGGCGCGUCUGUCCGGAAACCCGGAAAAUGCGUCAGCCCGAAAACGGGCAGGGUGAAAUCUGUACGGUAGUUCAUCCGUCUCGUGAGACUAUGGAGACGAGCAUGGCAGACGUAAUCAGAAUGCAGGACCGGAUCGUCAAACGCCCUCGACGGCGUCCUGUCGGGAAGGGCGGCGCCAAGGUGUUGUUCUUCACAGGAAUCCGUUACGAAAGGCUGGACGGCCGCGGACCGCAGCCGACUGCCCCGGCUGGCCGCCAGGCCAAGAAGCAGUAAACUCGCGGGCAAAGCGCCGGCAGCGCCCGUCCGGGCGGUGCGGUCGUUC